GACGAACGCUGGCGGCGUGCUUAACACAUGCCAGUCGAACGGAAAGGCCCUGCUUUUGUGGGGUGCUCGAGUGGCGAACGGGUGAGUAACACGUGAGUAACCUGCCCUUGACUUUGGGAUAACUUCAGGAAACUGGGGCUAAUACCGGAUAGGAGCUCCUGCUGCAUGGUGGGGGUUGGAAAGUUUCGGCGGUUGGGGAUGGACUCGCGGCUUAUCAGCUUGUUGGUGGGGUAGUGGCUUACCAGGGCUGUGACGGGUAGCCGGCCUGAGAGGGUGACCGGCCACAUUGGGACUGCGAUACGGCCCAGACUCCUACGGGAGGCAGCAGUGGGGAAUCUUGCACAAUGGGCGGAAGCCUGAUGCAGCAACGCCGCGUGCGGGAUGACGGCCUUCGGGUUGUAAACCGCUUUCGCCUGUGACGAAGCGUGAGUGACGGUAAUGGGUAAAGAAGCACCGGCUAACUACGUG
rnacentral:rRNA from 1 species